AUUGGUGUUUUGAGAAAAAGCAGGGCUUAGCUCUUAAUCUGUAAGACUUGAAAAUUCUUGUACUUCAUAAAACCAGCUUUCACUUCUAAGAAAAUUUUAUAAAUGUAAUAGGAUGCCAUUAACUUUUCAGUUAAGCAGUAAGUGUAAUCAGGCGAAGCGUAGCAGAUGAUAAUAUUUGAUUGCAUGUAACCGUACUAAGUGGUUUUGGUCUGCGCUGAUGUCCCUCUACAGCUUCAUCGCUGAAACACUGUGAGCUUUUGUGCAGCUUCUGCAAUCUAUUCAGUAUAGACCUAGCCUAUAAAUAGCUGCAUUAUUGAGAGACCGUGAGAGGUUCAUUAGAGAAGCUGUGACAGCCUCCUUUGAGCCAGGGCUGAUAUAGUACCACUCCAAGUUACCAAAGAGCUUCGCCGUGUGGGUAACACUAAGCACGAAGCUGGGCUUUUGGCCACGCAGCAGCGUAGCUGCCCCACCGGUCGUCCCCCCCCAUCACCCCGCCUGCGGGUUCUCACAAAGUACACUGCGCUUCUUGCCAGCUCCGGCCGCGGGGAUUUCUUUCCAAACGAAAGCACGGCAGCACGCGGGACCUCGUGGUCACGCCAACCUUGUCCCAGCCCGGAGCUGGGAUCCAGCCAAGGGCGUCUGCUGGGGACCGGGGCGCAGGACACCCUGCCCACCGUACCUACCUGCCGGCGCGGAGGCAGCCAGGGAGAUUAGUCAUCUUAAAAUCACGGGCAGGCAGAAGUACUCUGCUGACUCAAUAGGAAGUCGCUGGCCGAAAUCAGCGGGAUUUCUCACGUGAUUGAAGUUACAUGUCUUAAUCCUGUGCACUGUAUUCACGUCGCUGGGGAGCGAGGAAAGAAAAUUUGAAUGGCAGCUGAUGGCUGUUUUCUUUCAAAGCCUAUGAGUUCCAUCAGUAUGUUAAUUGUCUCUGUGUACUUGGGUUCACUUGGCUUUGAAAAGCAUCCGACGGAGAAGAAGCAUUUGGUCAACAUCGAGAAGAUCUGGUGAUUUAAACUCUGGAGCUGAUUUGGUCUUGGUGAUACCAAACAACAAACCCCAGCUCCCCCAUUCUGCUGUCCUUCACGUCACCCUCGAGCUGAGGCAGCGCUCCACCGACUGCCUGGUCUUUAUCACCAGAUUUUCUGAACAUUCAGCACCCGUAUCAUUGCAGCAGAUUUUCAGAAGCGGGCAGCCAUCAGCUAUGGUAAUUACAGUUAGGGCCAAAUUCUCAAAAGAACUUGGCAUACUGCCCCAAAUCUGGUCCCAGGCAUGGAUACAUAGUGCUUUCCUGCAGGAAUCACAGCUCCGAUUUUGGGAGUCACCUAAUUCUGUGCCCCACAGAGGAGUCCCAGCUGGGAGGUGUGUGGUCAGGAUGAAGGUGG